rnacentral:ribozyme from 1 species
GAUAUUAAGGUUUGAUACGUUUGAUUAUUAUUAUCCCUUUUCAUAAUAUAUUUGACAUAUGUUUUUUGUUUUUACUUCCAUAUGUUAUGUAACUGACCAGAAGUUAUACGUUAGUUUAAAAAUUCUACUGAGAAGAGGAUAGAGAUUCUCUAGUAUUGAUAUACAGGCUUGUACCUCUAACAUAAAAGUUACGAAAG